rnacentral:lncRNA from 1 species
GGCCUUCUUGAUUUAAAGGCAGGUGGGAAAACUCUCUAUAAAAAUAUCUCAUUGUCCUGUAGUCAAAAAGUUAUAACAACCAAGAAAACACAGAAUUUAUCAAAAAAGAGUCGUGUCAAGUCUGUAUGAUUGUUUAAGAAAUGUAAAAUACAUAAAAUAGCCAGAGGGUUGUAUAAAAAGUUCCUAUAAUAUCAGGAAAACUCAUCUCUGAUCAAUAUUCACAGAAAAUAAUCUGCUCAAAAUGCAUCCAAAUAUUUCAUUUUACAAAAACUUCCUGGAGUUAUUGAGUCUCCCUGAAGGAAAACUACAAAGUAAAGCACCUUGAGCUGCAGUUAAGUACAAAGGACCCACAUUAAUGCUAUUGAAUUUAAAAUGGGAUUAAUGAGGCCGGGAAAUCUUCUGCCUCCGAGUGAGAAAAAUACGCCCUGAAAAAAGACCCCCAACCGAGAGCUGCAGAUUGAACAUCAGUGCACAGUCUCACCGCUUCCUACUCAAACUCUGAUGACUUCAUGUUAAGAACCUAAAUUCAGCUUUUUCCAUCCACUGUAUUUUUAGUCUUGAAGUGCAGCUGCCAGAAAGUCAGUGUUACUCUGAAAUAAGCAACUACUCGGUUCUUUCUCAUUUAGUAGCAGUUCUUGAGCUUUUGAUCGAAUUACUUGAUGUUCUUCAGCAGAUAGAGUCCACGCGGUCGGCCCCCUGAAGACGGCUUCACAACUAGGAAGAGACGUCAGCACCACUCCCCAAAAAAAGGACCAGGACUGAGAGGAAGGGGGGAGGUGAAAAUUGGAGCGAGGUGUGAGAGCCGGGUGCUGAAUCUGAUCAAAUCUGUAAAGAAGUGCAAGACUACAGAGCUCACAUUCAAUCACAUGUUGUACAUAAAAGACGUCCUUUAUAUUAAACGCCGCAGUAUCCUGGACGGAUAAAUGAUUCUGUGGUUGUGUAGAUUAUAAAUAAUGUACAAG